UCCGUAGGUGGAUAAUUAAGUCAGAGGUGAAAUCCUGCAGCUCAACUGUAGAAUUGCCUUUGAUACUGGUUAUCUUGAGUCAUUAUGAAGUGGUUAGAAUGUGUAGUGUAGCGGUGAAAUGCAUAGAUAUUACACAGAACACCGAUUGCGAAGGCAGAUCACUAAUAAUGUACUGACACUGAGGGACGAAAGCGUGGGGAGCGAACAGGAUUAGAUACCCUGGUAGUCC
rnacentral:rRNA from 1 species